rnacentral:lncRNA from 1 species
AUUACAUUUAUAAGCUUUUUCUCCAGUAUGAAUUCUCCAAUGAUAUGCAAGGUAUGAAUUUUGACUGAAGACUUUGCCACAUUCAUCACAUUUGUAAGGUUUCUCACCGGCAUGAAUUAUCAGAUGUUGGGCAAGGUAUGAAUUGCGACUGAAGACCUUGCCACAUUCAUUACAUUUGUAAGGUUUCUCUCCAGUGUGGAUUCUCCAGUGAUUUACUAGGGAUGACUUGUGACUGAAGACCUUGCCACACUCAUUACAUUUGUAAGGUUUCUCUCCAGUGUGGAUUCUCUGAUGUUGUGCAAGGUGUGAAAUAUGAUGGAAGACCUUUCCACAUACAUUACAUCUGUAAGGUUUCUCUCCAGUAUGAAUGAUCAGAUGUUGUACAAGGUGUGAAAUUUGAUGGAAGACCUUUCCACAUUCAUUACAUUUAUAAGGUUUCUCUCCGGUAUGAAUUCUUUGAUGUUGUGCAAGGUGUGAAAUUUGAUUA